GAGCAUUGUGAGGUAUAGUUUCUGAAUAUGAAAUUUAUCCAGUCUACAUAUAUUUUGCAAUCUGCCAAAUAGAUCUCCCUGAAGCUUCUGGCUCUCCAACAUCAUAGUUCUGCUUUCCAGUAUCUUCCUGACAACCCAAGAAGCUGAUUUUGGAAUGAUUACUGUGGCAAUGUCACCCUGUUUGAUGUAGUAAGAGUGAAC
rnacentral:lncRNA from 1 species